ensembl:lncRNA
AUGCUUCUGAACACACCCGAGGGAGUUUGUGUAUCUCUGUCCUGGUAUGAGAAACGCAGCGAGGAUCAUGCAUUGCCACAGCUUGGGAUUUUUUGUAUUGUGUUGGCUGGGAUUGUGCAGAGAGGCGCUCUUUGUUCUGUGUUUGUGUGGACAGACGAUGGAGUGGAAGGCGCAGACAAUGCCGAUUCUCCGGCAGAUGAGCUCGCUCCAGAGGACUCAACCGUUCCUGCUGAAGCUGCAGACGCUGAAGAACCAGCUAAAGAAGCAUCACCUGAAGAACCAUCACCUGAAGAAACAUCACCUGAAGAAAUAUCACCGGAAGAAAUAUCACCGGAAGAAAUAUCACCGGAAGAACCAGCGGCUGAAGAACCAGCACCUGGAGAAAUAUCACCUGAAGAAACAUCACCUGGAGAUAUAUCACCUGAUGAAACACCUGAAGACCCAGCGGAGGAUGCUGUGGAUGAGGCAGCAGCUACUGCAGAGCCUGAAGACACAAACCCUGAGUCAGACGCUGUGAUAGAAGAGGCUGAAGAAACACCAGCAGCUGAAGAGAAACCUGCUGAAGCAGAAGCAGAAGCAGCAGCGGCUCCUGAAGCAGAUGACGCCGAUGCAACUAAAACAGAAGCCGAUCCACCUGCUGAAGAUCCUGAACAAGAAAUCAAGCCCGAAGAAGCUCCAGAUGAUGCAGAAACAGAGGAAGCACAAGAGGAAGCAGAAGGAGGGGAAGCAGAUGCAGGCGCAGAGACUGAAGCAGACUUUACUGCUGUACCAGAGGAACCUGUGGACCCUGAAGUGGUUGUGGAAGAUAUGUCUGCAGAAUUCGAUCUUUCUGAUGCGUUCGAAGAGAAAGCACAACCACAGGAUCCAGUAAAGACAAAAAUGGGAGAUGCAGACCAGCACAGCGCAGGUCAAGGCAGAGCUCGCAGCGCUGGAGCCGUUUCUGAGCCGAACGACAGUGGAUCUGGUACGGUUGUUGGUGUUGUUUGUGGGAUUGCAGUAGCAGCUGUUGGUGCCAUAAUCGGAUACUUCACCUACCAGAAGAAGAAACUGUGCUUCAAGGUCCAGAGAGGUGAUCCAGAGAGUGCCAAAGAAGAGAACGGCACACAGAACCCUGAGGUUUUAAGCACCCUCCUGAAGUCAUCUGAACACGCCCCUGCAGCCGGCAGUGAACUUGCGUGAAGCUACUGUGAACUGCUUUACAUGGGAGCAGGACGUUGUAACUACCCACAUCUUGAGAACCGGAUGAACUUCACAAACACAUUCACAGUACAGAAAGUCAGCACAAAUAUCAUUUCUACACUCACUCUGAGUUCCUGACGCACAUUAAGUCCUUUUUCAUAAUAUCUCAUCUUCCUACUGCUUCGACUACAGUUCUAAACUAGCACAUAGGACUGUUAAUAAUACAUGUUUUGAAUGUAAUUUCACAUCGUUUGAGUGGAACGGGAUGUGUGCGUGUAUGCAUGUGUAAUUCGACAGCCUUUUGGUAGAGGCAUUUCAUUUCGUUACUUUAAAAAGUGUCGUUUGGUUUCAUUACUGUGUCAUUGAUCGCAGUUUUGUUUGAUGUCAAAUUGUUGCCUCUGAUUCAUAAAAGAGCAAAUCUCACAAUGUGGAAUGAUUCAAAUUGUAUUGUCUGACCAAACAGAAUUCAUAGGAAUUUUCUUUCUAUUUUUUGUUUUGUUUUAAAAUUCUGUAAAUAAUUGUUGCGUUUGAAUAAAGAGUGGUUACAUUUAAAAGACGUUACA